rnacentral:rRNA from 1 species
UACGUAGGGGGCAAGCGUUGUCCGGAUUUACUGGGCGUAAAGCGCGCGCAGGCGGUUUCUUAAGUCUGAUGCGAAAGCCCACGGCUCAACCGUGGAGGGUCAUUGGAAACUGGGGAACUUGAGUGCAGAAGAGAAAAGCGGAAUUCCACGUGUAGCGGUGAAAUGCGUAGAGAUGUGGAGGAACACCAGUGGCGAAGGCGGCUUUUUGGUCUGUAACUGACGCUGAGGCGCGAAAGCGUGGGGAGCAAACAGG